rnacentral:rRNA from 1 species
GAGGAAAGAGGGAGGCGUGCUUAACACAUGCAAGUCGAACGGAAAGGCCCUGCUUUUGUGGGGUGCUCGAGUGGCGAACGGGUGAGUAACACGUGAGUAACCUGCCCUUGACUUUGGGAUAACUUCAGGAAACUGGGGCUAAUACCGGAUAGGAGCUCCUGCUGCAUGGUGGGGGUUGGAAAGUUUCGGCGGUUGGGGAUGGACUCGCGGCUUAUCAGCUUGUUGGUGGGGUAGUGGCUUACCAAGGCUUUGACGGGUAGCCGGCCUGAGAGGGUGACCGGCCACAGUGGGACUGAGAUACGGCCCAGACUCCUACGGGAGGCAGCAGUGGGGAAUAUUGCACAAUGGGCGGAAGCCUGAUGCAGCAACGCCGCGUGCGGGAUGACGGCCUUCGGGUUGUAAACCGCUUUCGCCUGUGACGAAGCGUGAGUGACGGUAAUGGGUAAAGAAGCACCGGCUAACUACGUG